CCUACGGGCGGCAGCAGUGAGGAAUAUUGGUCAAUGGCCGGAAGGCUGAACCAGCCAAGCCGCGUGAAGUCCGCCUGUGCCCAGCCUUUUCCCCUUCUUUUGUCCCGGGCCCCCCUCCGGCUCGAGAGCCUGACCGAGGGUACUUGAAGAAAACGCAUCGGCUAACUCCGUGCCAGCCGCCGCGGUAAUACGGCGGAUGCGCGCGUUCUCCGGCUUUAUUGGGUUUACAGGGUGCGUCGGCGGACUGUUCCGUCCGCGGUAACAGCCCGGGGCUCAACCCCGGCGCGCCGUUGACACUGGCUGUCUUGAGAUGUCGAGAGGUAUGCGGAAUGCGCAGUGUAGCGGUGAAAUGCUUAGAUAUUGCGCAGAACUCCGAUUGCGAAGGCAGCAUACCGGCGGCGAUCUGACGCUGAGGCACGAAAGCGUGGGUAUCGAACAGGAUUAGAUACCCUGGUAGUC
rnacentral:rRNA from 1 species